UUGGGGAAGGGUGUUUGGAUUUGUGUGAUUAGACAGUUGGCAACCCUACCUUUUUUAGUUGUGCAAGUUCCCACUGUGUGCACAAAUAAAAUCAUGGUCACAGCUUAACAUGGAACUUAACUUCAGCAGACAAAUGUUGACUUUUUGGUUUUACUUUAUCUUGUUUUAACCAUUUCUCUUGUUUCAUUUUCGCCUUGUCACCCUAUCAUUUCUUGUAAAUAAGUCUUUUCAUAGAAUCUCAGUUUGUAUAAAUCAGUAGGCUAUAAAUUUAAUAAUUAAGCAAGCAAUUGGAAGUGUUUGAGAAAUAUAGAUUGCUAGGUUUGCCCACCUUACAUCUUACAAGAGUAUAAGGUGUAAUAUGGAGUAGGUUUUUGUCUUUGGUUUCAUGUAACUUUUUUUGUUCCUGUUUGACUACUAUUUGCGGGGAGGGUUGAAAACGCAAAGAAGUAGUGGGGAAGGAUUUGAGAGUGAAAUCAGGUUCCUAAAUGAAGAACACCAAAGCACAGCAAGAUGAAAAAUCACAAAUUUACACCUGAAAAUACUUUAAGCUGCACACAGGCUUCUGAGUUGUAAGUUUAUAACAAGCUGGCAGGAGAUCAGCGGCUGGAACCCCAGAUCGGCAGCUGAGGUGAGGAACUGGCGGCUGGUAGGGCUGAGCAGGGCUGGAAACCUGGACCCUGUCUUGCAGGGGGCCUGUGCUGGAACUCCAACCGGAAGCAAGGCUUGGCACAGAGCCAGCUUCAAGACAGUGGAUAGCUUGGAGGUAGCAGACUGAGCUGCGGUGGAUCUGAGGCAAUGGACUCAGCUGAGGAGGAUCUGAGGCAAUGAGCUGAGCUGGGUGGGAUUUGAGGCAAUAGACUGGGGAGCUGAAGCAGAUUUGAGGCAACGGGCUGGGCUGAGCUGAAGCGGCACUGAGACCGGUGACAACACUGAGGUAACGGACUGAACCUGCAGAGAGCAGCAGCCUACCUGAGGGACUCCGCUGCAGGCCUCCCUACCCAGCACUCAAAGCUGACAUCGCUUCAGCCAGCUUAGGUGGUGGAGCCUCUGGAGCAUCCCAGUCAGCUACCAAAUCCUUGGACCUGCCAGAAUCCUUGGACUUCUCUAGCCCCGGUCAGCAAACUGUGAGUGGGGAACUGGGGAGGAGGGAAGUGUCUAAAAUGCAUUAGCCUCCCACCACUGCAAGAGGGGGAUUGAGGCUGGGACUGUUCUUAGGAUGCCCUGGGCAGGGGAGACUUAUCUAAUAGGCGCUGUUAAUUUAUUAAUUGUUGGCUUUCCUAAGUUUAUUCUGUUGUCCCACACACACACCCCUGCCCCCAAUACAUUCUCUUUGUUUUAAACCCCUGGACGCAGUGCUUGUGAAUGGGGGAGUAUUGCCCAUAAAGGGUGCCUAGGCUGGGUGGUGGUGGUGGGUAUGUGUGUGUGUGUGGUUUCCCAGGUUUCAGGGUGGGAGCCUGAGCCAGUGUUUAACUCCUCAGAAGGAACCUGGCCCUUUUGCUGCUGAGAGUACCUGGCAGAAAGAUUUAAGAUGCAUUUUCAUCAUUUGAUGGCUGUUUUUUUCAUGUGUACCACAGUUGUUAAUGUGAUACAGAUAUAUAAGUACAGAGAGAGAAAUGCCUUAGAACUUGAGUGGCUCUAUAGUGCCAAGUGUAUGUAUUGCCAGUUUUCUUUACUAUAAAUGCUAUUGUAUUAUAGUAAUGUUGCACACUUCGAUUUAUUGGAUGAGCCACUCAGGCCACCUCUCUGGAGGAUCGCCCACUGGCAUGGGUGGUUUGUGAGAGCAGUGUCUGUCUUAUGACUAGUCAGUUUAAGGGCUGCCACUGCCAGAUGUUCCCCAUUGGGCAUGGAGGCUUAGAUAGUUUCAUUGAGGCCAGAAGCACCCAUUGCAGUUCAAGGCAAAAAGUUUUUCCUUCCCUUUUCUUGAUGUCAUUUGUUCAUUGCCACUAAUAGAAUGUUAAGGUUAUAAUUUUAGGACCUUGCAUGGUGUCUCUUAAAGAGCUUUGAUUCUACCCUUUGAGCAAAGAAUGGCACUUGCUGGUGUGCUUUGCCUUCCUUGAGCCACUUGGUAGGCUUGGCUAAACGUAGUGGUAAGCUGUAAGCAUUUGACAUAGGAGAUCUGCUAUACUAAUCAUGUUUCAAAGAGAUCAUUUUAUGUUGGUGGGAGUCCAGUGUGGUAGCAGAGCACGAACAGGAACCUCUAAUUAAUCUUCGCCUCAAACAGAGGACCAGGAGUAAGUUACACCCCAGGAUCUCCAAGUGAGGAUUAGGAUACUGGACUUCAAGCAUUAAGCAUUAGGACUAGGAGUCACAAGACGUGUGCAAUAUUUCUGACUGCCAAAAACUUCUGUUGUGCUAUUUGACUGCUACAGGCUUUGAGUAAGUGGCUUAAUAUAUCUGCAUCUAGUUGCUUAUCUGUAAAAUAAAGAUAAAAUGUAUCUGUUAAUAAACUGAAGGGAUUCAGAGAUGAGCAACAAAAUAACCUAGGAGGCUAGUCAGAUUGACAUAUGAGUAAAUGUUAAAGAAAUCUAUUUCUGUAUUGUGGGUAGAGCUGGGUGAAAUUGUACAUUUGAAUAGUAAGUUUGCUGAAAAAUGCAGUUUCGGAGCAAAUAAU